GACGAACGCUGGCGGCGUGCCUAAUACAUGCAAGUAGAACGCUGAAGGAGGAGCUUGCUUCUCUGGAUGAGUUGCGAACGGGUGAGUAACGCGUAGGUAACCUGCCUGGUAGCGGGGGAUAACUAUUGGAAACGAUAGCUAAUACCGCAUAAUAGUAGAUGUUGCAUGACAUUUGCUUAAAAGGUGCAAUUGCAUCACUACCAGAUGGACCUGCGUUGUAUUAGCUAGUUGGUGGGGUAACGGCUCACCAAGGCGACGAUACAUAGCCGACCUGAGAGGGUGAUCGGCCAACCUGGGACGGAGACACGGCCCAGACUCCUACGGGAGGCAGCAGUAGGGAAACUUCGGCAAUGGACGGAAGUCUGACCGAGCAACGCCGCGUGAGUGAAGAAGGUUUUCGGAUCGUAAAGCUCUGUUGUAAGAGAAGAACGAGUGUGAGAGUGGAAAGUUCACACUGUGACGGUAUCUGACCAGAAAGGGACGGCUAACUACGUG
rnacentral:rRNA from 1 species